AUUGAACGCUGGCGGCAUGCCUUACACAUGCAAGUCGAACGGUAACAGGGAGCUUGCUCCGCUGACGAGUGGCGAACGGGUGAGUAAUGUAUCGGAACGUACCUUUUAGUGGGGGAUAACGUAGCGAAAGUUACGCUAAUACCGCAUAUUCUCUGAGGAGGAAAGCAGGGGACCUUCGGGCCUUGCGCUAAUAGAGCGGCUGAUAUCAGAUUAGCUAGUUGGUGAGGUAAAGGCUCACCAAGGCGACGAUCUGUAGCGGGUCUGAGAGGAUGAUCCGCCACACUGGAACUGCGACACGGUCCAGACUCCGACGGGAGGCAGCAGUGGGGAAUUUUGGACAAUGGGCGAAAGCCUGAUCCAGCAAUGCCGCGUGCAGGAAGAAGGCCUUCGGGUUGUAAACUGCUUUUGUACGGAGCGAAAAGGCUCUCUCUAAUACAGGGGGCUCAUGACGGUACCGUAAGAAUAAGCACCGGCUAACUACGUGCCAGCAGCCGCAGUAAAAC
rnacentral:rRNA from 1 species